GGCCCGGUGGCGCAAUUGGUUAGCGCACCAGACUGUCGAUCUGGGGGUUGAGGGUUCAAGUCCCUUCCGGGUCG
rnacentral:tRNA from 1 species